rnacentral:miRNA from 1 species
CCCGAGUCACAGCUCCCUGGAC